UACCGAAAACUCGUUAAAUCUUA
rnacentral:siRNA from 1 species